rnacentral:rRNA from 1 species
ACGAACGCUGGCGGCGUGCCUAACACAUGCAAGUCGAACGGGCUUCGGGGCAACUCGAAGUCAGUGGCGGACGGGUGCGUAACACGUGAGGAACAUGCCUAUCGGCGGGGGGAUAGCCGGUCCAACGACCGGGUAAUACCGCGUACGACCUUUGGGUGGCAUCACCUGGGGGUGAAAGCAGCAAUGCACCGAUAGAGUGCCUCGCGGCCUAUCAGCUAGUUGGUGGGGUAAUGGCUCACCAAGGCGACGACGGGUAGCUGGUCUGAGAGGAUGACCAGCCACAUUGGGACUGAGACACGGCCCCAGACUCCUACGGGAGGCAGCAGUGGGGAAUAUUGCGCAAUGGGCGAAAGCCUGACGCAGCGACGCCGCGUGUGGGAUGACGGUCUUCGGAUUGUAAACCACUGUCGGGAGGGACGAAGCUCUGACGGUACCUCCAAAGGAAGCACCGGCUAACCCUGUGCCAGCAGCCGCGGGUAAUACAGUAGGGUGCGAGCGUUGAUCGGAAUUACUGGGCGUAAAGGCGUGCGUAGGUGGUUCGUUGAUAAGUCGGGUGGUGAAAUCCUGCGGGCUUAACCGCAUGGGACGGCCAUUCGAGACUGUCGAGCUUGAGCACAGUAGAGGGGGUGGAAUUCCCGGUGUAGCAGGUGGAAAUGCGUAGAGAUGCGGAAGGAACAUCCGGAUGGCGAAGGCAGGCCCCUGCUGGGCUAGCUAGCUGACGCUGAGGCAGCGACAGCGUGGGGAGCAAACAGGAUUAGAUACCCUGGUAGUCCACGCCCGUAAACGAUGGGUCACUAGGGUGUUCGGGGGAGCGAUUCCCCUGGGUAGCCGUAGCUAACGCAGUGAAGUUGACCCGCCUGGGGAGUACGGCCGCAAGGUUGAAAACUCAAAGGAAUUGACGGGGGACCCGCACAAGCGGUGGAUGCAUGUGGAUUUAAUUCGAAUGCAACGCGAAGACAACCUUACCUAGGCCCUUGACAUGUCACGGAGAAGCCCGGCUGAGAAAGUGGGUGUCCUCUUAGGGAAGUCGUGAACACAGGUGCUGCAUGGCUGUCGUCAGCUCGUGUCGUGAGAUGUUGGGUUAAGUCCCGCAACGAGCGCAACCCUCUGUCCCUAGUUACAGCGGUAAAGCAGGGCACUCUAGGGAGACUGCCGGUGAUCAAAACCGGGAGGAAGGUGGGGAUGACGUCAAGUCCUCAUGGCCCUUAUGGGUAGGGCUUCACACGUCAUACAAUGGCCGGUACAGAGGGUUGCCAACCCGCGAGGGGGAGCCAAUCCCGUGAAAGCCGGUCGUAGUCCGGAUUGCAGUCUGCAACUCGACUGCAUGAAGUCGGAAUCGCUAGUAAUCGCGGAUCAGCAUGCCGCGGUGAAUACGUUUCCCGGGUCUUGUACACACCGCCCGUCACACCAUGGGAGUGGGGUGCACCAGAAGUAGGUAGGCUAACCGCAAGGAGGCCGCCCUACCACGGUGCGCUUCAUGACUGGGGUG